rnacentral:tRNA from 1 species
CCGCCUGCCCAAAACGUAAACCGGUAGCCAGCCAGAAAGAUUUGCUGGUAAACAUCGCGCCCAAUGUAUUUUCUGAC